rnacentral:lncRNA from 1 species
GCCUGGAAAAGGAGACAAAACUAAAGAAGCAGCCAGGGAAAGUCAGACACCACAGAGCCUCACUAGAUUUCAGAAGUAACAUAAGGAAGUGGUUAGAAAAGAAAAAGGACAGAUCCAUUAAUGAGGUAACAAAUUAUUGCCUUUAUGUUGGGAUAGAACAGGGCCAGGUAGAAAACAAUGAAAGAGAAAGACAGAGAGAGAGAGACAGAGACAGAGACAGAGACAGAGACAGAGACAGAGAGAAAGUGAGCUAGUGAAUUGGCCAGGUGACAUACUGGUAAGGGAGUCAAAGGACACUCUGAGUUAGUGCCCUCAUGACACACAGCAAACUGUGAUCAUGAAAAGAGUGAGCUCAAUAGUUUUCCAUAAAAUAUGCUCAAAAUUCGAUGCAGUGGCCAUGAGAGUACAGCUUUUGAAGUAUGGUCAACCUAUGGUACGUUACUAAAUGAUAAGGGGAGGAAGAAAUGGAAACCUAAACAUCUACUGCAAUGAAAACCAACAGCAAUGACAGUAGGAGUAAUUCAGCCUUCGUUGAAAACAUGACAUCAAACACACUCUGGUUUCCCUGAAUCUGUUGCCUCCAGGUGUUAACACAGAAUUAAGCAUCCACAAUUGCUGAAAGUUACCUGG